UAAAGAGUUUUUAGCAUACACUUUAGAGGGC
rnacentral:piRNA from 1 species